AGGGAAUAUUGCGCAAUGGGGGAAACCCUGACGCAGCAACGCCGCGUGAGUGAGGAAGGUCUUCGGAUUGUAAAACUCUUUUAUUAGGGAAAAAUGGUUACAGAGCUAAUACCCUGUGACUUGAUGGUACCUAAAGAAUAAGCACCGGCUAACUUCGUG
rnacentral:rRNA from 1 species